GACGAACGCUGGCGGCGUGCUUAACACAUGCAAGUCGAACGGAAAGGCCCUGCUUUUGUGGGGUGCUCGAGUGGCGAACGGGUGAGUAACACGUGAGUAACCUGCCCUUGACUUUGGGAUAACUUCAGGAAACUGGGGCUAAUACCGGAUAGGAGCUCCUGCUGCAUGGUGGGGGUUGGAAAGUUUCGGCGGUUGGGGAUGGACUCGCGGCUUAUCAGCUUGUUGGUGGGGUAGUGGCUUACCAAGGCUUUGACGGGUAGCCGGCCUUAGAGGGUGACCGGCCACAUUGGGACUGAGAUACGGACCAGACUCCUACGGGAGGCAGCAGUGGGGAAUAUUGCACAAUGGGCGGAAGCCUGAGGCAGCAACGCCGCGUGCGGGAUGACGGCCUUCGGGUUGUAAACCGCUGUCGCCUGUGACGAAGCGUGAGUGACGGUAAUGGGUAAAGAAGCACCGGCUAACUACGUG
rnacentral:rRNA from 1 species